rnacentral:misc_RNA from 1 species
AAAGUCGUAACAAGGUUUCCGUAGGUGAACCUGCGGAAGGAUCAUUACCUUUCAGUACGGAGCCUAUAGCUCGCUAUAGCUCCUGUCUGCAUCCAUGUCUUUUGCGUACUACAUGUUUCCUCGGCGGGUCUUACCCGCCGGUUGGACAACCUUAAACUCUUUGUAAUUGCAAUCAGCGUCUGAAAAACACAAUAGUUACAACUUUCAACAACGGAUCUCUUGGUUCUG